rnacentral:sRNA from 1 species
UCCCUGAUGCAAUUUCGCCUAAAGUUAUGCUCAGCCUGAUUCCUGCUACUGGGAUAUCUGAUCUUCUCAGGACUGUGUCUGGUUGAGGUUUUCUGUUCACUUGAUUGAUCUCAUUUUCUUGUUGUAUACAUGAUCAGCUAUUGCUCUACAUCCUGUAUUUGAUGUUCUGGGUUCUGAACUCCUAUCUUAUCAGCGCUGCCAAUCCCAUCCUGUCUAUGCCUUGGUGCUUGCUUUCCUUAUUUCUCCCUUUUGCAAUCAGUCGGCAAACCCGAUGUUUCUCAACUGUGGUGCACGCAUGUUCUCCUGUAGGGUAGAAGCGCCGCAAUUUCACAAGUUUUCUUGGAUAUGCCUCAUAAUUGUCUGAAAUUAUUGUGUUGCUCUGGAUCAUUUUCCACAUGGUCUUACUGAUUAAAAUCACUGAACUUUCUCAGGAUCCACACUUUUAAGCAAGAAA